rnacentral:rRNA from 1 species
CCCUUAGAUGUUCUGGGCCGCACGCGUGCUACACUGAGUAAUUCAAUGGGUAAGGGAACGCUAGAGCAUUACCUGAUCUUGAAAUUUGCUCGUGAUGGGGAUCGACGGUUGCAAUUUUCCGUCGUGAACGAGGAAUACCUUGUAGGCGCAUGUCAUCAUCAUGCGCCGAAUACGUCCCUGCCCUUUGUACACACCGCCCGUCGCUCCUACCGAUUGAGUGAUCCGGUGAGGCUCUGGGACCUGGACGGAAAGAGCGUUUCGCUUGUUCUGUUUGGGAAACUUGGUCGAACCUUAUCAUUUAGAGGAAGGAGAAGUCGUAACA